rnacentral:rRNA from 1 species
UACGUAGGGUGCAAGCGUUGUCCGGAAUUAUUGGGCGUAAAGAGCUCGUAGGCGGUCUGUCGCGUCUGCUGUGGAAACCUGGGGCUUAACCCCGGGCCUGCAGUGGGUACGGGCAGACUAGAGUGUGGUAGGGGAGACUGGAAUACUUGGUGUAGCAGUGAAAUGCGUAGAUAUCAAGUGGAACACCAGUGGCGAAGGCGAGUCUCUGGACAUUUCCUGACGCUGAGGCACGAAAGCCAGGGGAGCAAACGGG